rnacentral:rRNA from 1 species
UACGUAGGGGGCUAGCGUUGUCCGGAAUCAUUGGGCGUAAAGCGCGUGUAGGCGGUUCGGUAAGUCCGCUGUGAAAGUCGGGGGCUCAACCCUCGAAUGCCGGUGGAUACUGUCGGACUAGAGUACGGAAGAGGCGAGUGGAAUUCCUGGUGUAGCGGUGAAAUGCGCAGAUAUCAGGAGGAACACCAAUUGCGAAGGCAGCUCGCUGGGACGUCACUGACGCUGAGACGCGAAAGCGUGGGGAGCAAACAGG